rnacentral:lncRNA from 1 species
CAAGAGAUGAGCACGGUCUGAGACCAGGAUCCUUCCUUUGCAGGAGACGCCGUUGGACUCAAGACCAUCGAUCUCUUUGAAGAGACCUGGUAAAUGAACCACAACUCCGUUGCCGAUUACACAGGUAGUGUCCUCGUUGAGUAUACCUGAAGGUACUAAGUGAAGUGCAAACUUCUUCCCUUCUGAGUUGUAUAUAGUGUGUCCAGCAUUAGCUCCACCCUUACACACAAAGAUCACAACUUUAAUAUCAAAAACCAAAACUUUAAUAUUUGCUAAUUAAUAAAAAUCAACAAUCGUUCUAACUUUUUUGAACAUUGGUAAAAAUGUUAACUUUACCUGACAACGAGCAACGAUGUCGAAGUGCUGAGCUAAGAUGUCAACGAGCUUGCCUUUGCCUUCAUCUCCCCACUGGCAACCUAGCACACCCGAUACUUGACUCAGUGAUUCAAUCCGUGGUAUAGACUCGGUGGCGGUUGAGUCAGCGGCGACGCUCAGUGAUGCUGAGAUAGCCUGACGCUUAGCUGAGUAUGAAAGGGAGCUUCGAGGGUGGUUGAGUUGAGGAUAACGGCGGUUAAAUGGGCCUCCGAGGGCGAAUCUUGGCUUGGUGUCGAAGGAGAGAGAAGAGAGAGACAUGUUGUGAAGAGAGAGAGGGGCUGACAAGUCUUUAGGGUUCGCCGGCGGACACUCAAGUACUUACUUCAAACUGUGUUCAGGUGAAACUACAAUGACUGUUUUGCCCCUCCACGUGAACUACGUUGUCUGAAUCAACAAAGUUGUACCGAACCGGGUAUAACAAAUUGAUUUAAUCAAACCGAUCCAUAAUUGAAUCAUUCAUAAUUUCUAGUUGGAGUCAUCAAUUGUACCGGAAUAUGGAGUCAAUUUCGGUUAAACCAAGAAUAAAACCGGUGUAAGCUAUAAAUCCACAAAACAAGAAGCCAAGAAAAAACUAAAUUGAAUUAAACAUAUGGUGUUAUUUUGACGGGCAAAUCUCCAAAAUAGCACUUUUCUAAGUUUAUAUCACAAAAAUAACAUUCAAAAACUAAAAUGACCAAAAUAGCAUUUUAUCUUUUGAAAAAUUUAAAUUUUUUUUAUUUUUCAAAAUUUGAAAUCUUAUCCCCAAAACCUCACUUCUCAACUCUAAACCCUAAAACCUAAACUUUAAACCCUAAACCCUAAAUUAUAAACCCUGAACUCCACCAUUUGAGUGCUAUUUUUGUGACUUUUGGCAUUGAGUGCUAGUUUGGGAACAAAAAUUUGAUUUAGUACUAUUUUGGUCUUUUUCUCUAUUUUGACGGUAUAACAAAUAUAUUUAAUCAAACCGAUCCAUACAAAGUUGGUUCCACAACCAACUAAACCGAAACCUAACUGAAUGAUUCAUAAUUUCUAGUUGGAGUCAUCAAUUAAACCGAAAUACAGAGUGAGUUUCGGUUAAACUGAGACUAUAACUGGUAUAAGCUUUAAAUACACAAAGCAAGAAGUCAAAGAACUAAACUGAAUUAAACAUCUGGUAAGAUUUUGAUUGUAUAACAAAUAUAUUUCAUCAAACCGAUCCAUACAAAAUUGGUUCCACAGACAACUAAACCGAAAUCCAAUUGAAAGUUUCAUAAUUUCUAGCUAGAGUCGUCAAUUGAACCGAAAUACAGAGUGAAAUUCGGUUAAACCGAGACUAAAACCGGUCUAAGCUAUAAGAAAACACAAAAUAAGAAGCCAAAGAACUAAACAUGAUGUGAUUGAUUAUUCCUUUUCAAAAUUAAUGUGUAUACGAAUGAUUCUGCCAGGUAUAUGUGUAUUUACUUCCACAGUUCCAACUUUAGAUCAGCUUGUUUUGUGAAGACAUUCUUGAGGCAAACCGUAAUCUUUUGUCCGGUUCACUACUUGCUCUCGUCUCCAUGGAUCAUUGUGUAGCUUGUAAUGCAGAGUUUGUAUUAAAGUAGCAAAGACGUCGUCGUGUUUCAGUUUAGAGAACUGAACAGCCCAGUCUUCUUCAUGUCCAUAACUAGCUUUCUGUCUUUCUGCUUCAAGCAAGAUGGAGUCUCGGAACAAGAACCUUUGCCAGAGCUUCUUUACAUUAGCCAGUCUGAACUGUAUCUCUGUCUCAUUGAAUCCCUGUUGGAGAUUUCAAACGAAGUGAGAUCAAGAGUAGAAGCAGAUAGUUACAAGAUCUAGAGAGAAUGAUGAAAGUGGUUACUCGGAGAGUGUUUAUGAGAUUUGGAAUGUCAUCUUCGCUAACACGAACUGCAAAGCUUUCGUAGUUGAGUAUGUUCUCAUAAGGUAAGUAGAUUCCAUCCUAAUAAAGAGAGACAUCAUCUUUAGGAAUGUAUAGAAUGCAGUAAGAUAAGUUCAAGGUAAUAUAUAUACCUGAAUGAUGACAGGGACGCAUCCUUGUAAGAUACUAUCUUCCAUGCGACCACUCCAACCAUCUCCAGGGAAAACACCACAGAAGAUUGAAGAGGCUAUGUCGUUGUGGUAGUUGUCAGAACGAGAUGGAGUGACAAUGACAUCGUCUGCAUGCUGCUUCCCGAGCUUUCCUUCUUUGUUAGGGCUCGAACCAAACUCUUCCGCUAGCUUCUGCCUGAUUCCCAUGCUGUACCUGCAUUUAGAUGUUACCAGACCAUUAGGGCUGGGAUUUUGAACAGAACCGAACCGAUUAACCGGUUAUACCUGCACUAAAUUCGGUUUUGGUAUGGUCUGGGUAUAUUUUUUCUAAGAAAAGAAGAAAACAAAAGCAACCGAUUGUCGAACCAAACUGAACCUAAAAUCAUUUUUUUUAAACUACAGAAUUUUUAACUGAACUAAUCGAAAUAUUCAAAAUUAACCGAAUUAAUCAGAAACUUUAACAAAAUUAAACCAAAAUCAAAAACUUCGGUCAUAUUUUCAAAAACCAAACUAACCGAAUACUUUAUUUUGGGUGACUUCGGUAAGUUUGAUGUUGAACCAAACAAACCGAGAAAACCGAACUACUUGAAUCCAAAAAAACCCGAACUAACCAAACCCGCAAGUCUAAAUAUAUCCAUCUCCACUGACAAUGCUGUUUGAAUCACACAAUUCGGUUUUUGCUUAUUGAUUGACUUACGAAUCUUCUGGCCUUCCCUUUUCAUAAGCAGGUCCAAGAUUCCCAUUGAAGUAAAACAAUGUUUUCCUCUUUUCACGUGGCCUAAUGACAAGAAGAAGAAAACAAGUGUCAGGCUUUGAGUUUUAAGAGAUUGUCCAAGAACCAUCAGACAACAUAUAUACCUUUCCCAGUAAUUAACACGCAUGGAGUGUGGAUCAGGAACUUUCCAAGCUGGAACCACAAGAUCUUUGCUAGGGUCAAAGCAAGGAUGAUCACCUCUCCUCUCUUGAGAUAUCUCAUCCCAGUUAUCACCCCAAUAAGCUGUUGUUGAAUUUUUAUGCUUAGAGUUUGUGUUACCCCAAUGAACUAGCAUCAUGCUGUUCCAUAUCUCUUUAGGAGCAUAGCAAGCACCUUCAUCCCAUGAGAAAAACUGUAAUUCGUUAUAGCCACAUUAGCUUUUGAGAUAACAAUCCUAAUUAUAUGUUUUGCAUCAUCAUUUACCCAAAUAUGGUCUCUCCCAGAUGAGCGGUUCCAGUAUGGAUAUUUCUCAACGAUGUGUUCAUAAGCUCUUUUGUAGAACUCUAAGGUAAGUGAGCUUCUUAAACCAGUAUGAUUCUGCAAGUAAUUAAAAAACAUAUCAGCUCUCCAGAGUUUCUGCAAGCAGAGAAUAACAAAGAUGAGUUUCUUGAGUCUUGACCCAACCUGCAUGCUGAGGUGAGGUGAAUCAUCAGCACGGUUUAUAAUGCAUGAAUCAAGAACAGGAACAAAGAAGAAAUCUGCCUCUUCUCCAUUCAGUGUACGAUGAGCGGUUGCCAAAAUGCUCUCAUAGAAUGCCAUCUUCAAAAUUACAAGAGGCAAAUUUAUCUCUCAAUUCAAAUUCAGGAGAUAAUAUGUUGAAUUAGGCGUGAGAUUUUGAACCGAACCAAAAUUUUGGUUAAUUCGGUUAGUUUGGUUUGAAGUUCAUUUCGAUUUUGUAGGCUUUUUAAAAAAUAUUUGGUUUUUGGUUCGGUUGGACAAUUGUUUACUUCGAUUUUCUUCUUUUAGAAAAAGAUUAUACCCAAACCAUACCAAAACUCCAACCGAACUAACCAAAUUUCAAACCAAAAUAACUAAAUUAACCGAUUUUAACUGAACUUAUCCAAAACUUUAACAAAAUUUAACAAAAAUCUAACUGAAGUAAAAAAAAUUGGUACCAUUUUCAAAAAAUUGAAUUAACCAAAAACCGAACUGAAUUUUAUUUUGGGUUGGUUCGGUAAGAUAUAUGUUCAACCGAACUAACCGAACCCUCAUGCCUAUGUUAAAUUAUCUGGUAUCUGAGUCAAGUUUAGUAGGAAACCUGGGAACCAUAUAGAUAAUCUGUCCACACUGUUGCAUUCCUGUCAUCAUAGAUCCUGUUAACACACUCAAGCUUAAAAUGCCGACCCUGCAACAUCAAAUCCCCCAACCAGAUGAGAUUAAAAUGUUUUAUCAUAGAAAGAUUUUUAAAGUUUGUUUAGAAGAAGUAUACAAAGUUUGGAUUGUGACCUCAAUAAGUAAGCUGUUGAAGUCUGGGGGUAGAUCAUAGACGUAUAUAAGAGGCCUCUUCUUCUUCACAACAGCACUUAGAUUAAUGAGGUUUCCAGGGACAUCUUUACCACUUGGAACUUCGAGAUGUGCUGGUCUAAGCCAUUGUGGCCACUCUCCAAACGACGAUAGAGUGGAUGGAAUACUACAAUCUGUUCCAAACCAGCCUUUAUCACACUGAAACACACACACAAAGUUAGGAAGAUUUAAGGUUAAGAAUAUGCAAAGUUUAUGACAGUGGCUAGUAUAUAUUACCUGGCAGAAACCUCCUCUGCAUUUGCCAUGUCCAGAGCACUGAUUAACACAGGUGCAUUGUACAGGCACUUCGCAGAACCGUCCCCAAAGACAAUCAUACUUACAGUCACAUUCCUCUUUGAUUUUCACUUUCAUAGCAUAUGCAUCUUCCGGAUCCACAUUGCACCAUCCUUGUUUGCUACUGUUUGUUGUUAAAAUGUCCAAGUCUGGUUUAGACCAAUCCGUCAUUUUAGGUUCUCCAGGAUUCACAGGCGCGCUAAAAACAUUUGUGUUAAAUGUUAGAUAGUCUUCAAAGCUUGAUGACUCAAGAAGAAAAAGAAGCAGGUGAAAGAAACUUACUUGAUUUGGAAUCCACAUGACUCUGGAGCUGGACGAUUUGGAUAUUUGGUGCCUUCUCCACAAAAGCACAUGGCUCUUGUGGUAUCACAAUGUCUAGAACAUAUUGAAACAACCCAUCGACCGUAUGGCAUCUCAGGUGUUUUCUCAUAGUUGCAUUCUAACUGCUGCUUUUGUGAACAGUCUUCACCUACACAGAACAGGUGAAAAGUAACUUCAUUUUAAACAAGGGUAGACGAUCUAUUUCCCCACUAGAAAUAUCGUAUAGCAGUACUAACCAGUAAAUCCGUGGAAGCAACGGCAAAUCCCAAACUCAUGGUUACAAACACCUUGACCACUACACUCAUUCAGACACUUCCUCCCACCAAUUGGCUACCAAAAAAAAAACACGAACUUUAUAACAAAAACCAGCCGAAGGACUCGAAGAAGUAACAAAAGGAUAAGUCCCAAAGUCAAUAUCCAACAUAGUAGCCUGACCACCUUCAACCAAAACCUUCUUCUUCUUAUUCGAAAUCGCGUCAUUCAUGAAAUGAACCGUGUCAGUUAUAUACGGCUCCAACCUCUCAGCGUACCUCUUAUACGCUUCGACCUCUUCCCUAAGCAUCUCCGGAGUGUACUUAAACCCCGGAAACCUCGCAGCCGCAUCCGCUAGCAAAAGAUCAAGCUUCUGAGGCAAAGUGUCCAUGUGUCUUAGAUCACCAACUCUGAUACCGUUCCUUAUCACUUUACUUGAGUAGCAAGGACCUAUUCCUCUCUUUGUCGUACCGAUGAACGAUUUUGCGAGCUCGGAUUCUCUGAGACCGUCCACUUCUUGGUGGAAGUCGAACAAGAGAUGAGCACGGUCUGAGACCAGGAUCCUUCCUUUGCAGGAGACGCCGUUGGACUCAAGACCAUCGAUCUCUUUGAAGAGACCUGGUAGAUGAACCACAACUCCGUUGCCGAUUACACAGGUAGUGUCCUCGUUGAGUAUACCUGAAGGCACGAGGUGAAGUGCAAACUUCUUCCCUUCUGAGUUGUAUAUAGUGUGUCCAGCAUUAGCUCCACCCUUGACAACAAAGAUUACAACUUUAAUAUCAAAAGCCAAAACUUUUGAUUAGUAAAAAUCAGUGUUCUAAAAAUCGGUUUAGGCGGCUUCUAAUCAAUAAUCUCAUAAUCAGUAAAUUAG